UUAGAGUUUGAUCCUGGCUCAGGAUGAACGCUAGCGGCAGGCCUAACACAUGCAAGUCGAGGGGUAACAGGUGUAGCAAUACAUGCUGACGACCGGCGGACGGGUGAGUAACGCGUAUGCAAUCUGCCUCUGACUGAGGGAUAGCCCAGAGAAAUCUGAAUUAAUACCUCAUAACAUCAUGAUUGGACAUCCUUUUAUGAUUAAAGCUCCGGCGGUCAGAGAUGAGCAUGCGUGCCAUUAGUUAGUUGGCGGGGUAACAGCCCACCAAGACUGCGAUGGCUAGGGGGUCUGAGAGGAUGAUCCCCCACACUGGUACUGAGACACGGAUCAGACUCCUACGGGAGGCAGCAGUGAGGAAUAUUGGGCAAUAGGCGCAAGCCUGACCCAGCCAUGCCGCGUGCAGGAUGAAGGCCCUAUGGGUUGUAAACUGCUUUUAUACGGGACGAAUCCCUCGGACGUGUCCGGGGCUGACGGUACCGUAAGAAUAAGCAUCGGCUAACUCCGUGCCAGCAGCCGCGGUAAUACGGAGGAUGCAAGCGUUAUCCGGAUUCAUUGGGUUUAAAGGGUGCGUAGGCGGAACGAUAAGUCAGCGGUGAAAUCCUGCAGCUUAACUGUAGAAUUGCCAUUGAUACUGCCGUUCUUGAAUGCGGUUGAGGCAGGCGGAAUGUGUAUUGUAGCGGUGAAAUGCGUAGAUAUUACACAGAACACCUAUUGCGUAGGCAGCCUGCUAAGCCGUGAUUGACGCUGAGGCUCGAAAGCGUGGGGAGCAAACAGGAUUAGAUACCCUGGUAGUCCACGCUGUAAACGAUGAUCACUCGCUGUUGGCGAUAUACCGUUCAGCGGCUAAGCGAAAGCAUUAAGUGAUCCACCUGGGGAGUACGACGGCAACGUUGAAACUCAAAGGAAUUGACGGGGGCCCGCACAAGCGGAGGAACAUGUGGUUUAAUUCGAUGAUACGCGAGGAACCUUACCUGGGCUUAAAUGGGAGACGACGUCUCGGGAAACCGGGAUUCCCUUCGGGGCGGCUCUCAAGGUGCUGCAUGGUUGUCGUCAGCUCGUGCCGUGAGGUGUCGGGUUAAGUCCCAUAACGAGCGCAACCCCUAUCGUUAGUUGCCAGCGGGUAAUGCCGGGGACUCUAGCGAAACUGCCAGCGUAAGCUGUGAGGAAGGUGGGGAUGACGUCAAAUCAGCACGGCCCUUACGUCCAGGGCAACACACGUGUUACAAUGGCCGGUACAAAGGGCAGCUACUGGGCGACCAGAUGCUAAUCUCUAAAACCGGUCUUAGUUCGGAUUGAAGUCUGAAACUCGACUUCAUGAAGUUGGAUUCGCUAGUAAUCGCGCAUCAGCUAUGGCGCGGUGAAUCCGUUCCCGGGCCUUGCACUCACCGCCCGUCAAG
rnacentral:rRNA from 1 species